CAAAUAUUACAAUCGGAACAAGGAAGUUGCUGCUUCCUGAUUGUAUAGCGUCACAUUUUAACACCUGCGACAGCAAUAUUUCGUGAGCCCCAUCAUGGCAGAAGCUGAGGAGGAAGGAGCAACAAGUAAGGAGCAGCAGCAGCAGCUAAGCUCUUCUUCUCCCGGUGGACUUGAGGACGUUCAGCCGGCUGCCCCCACCGAGGGCACCGUGAAGCAGCAGCAGCAGCUCGGGUCUCCUCUUCCCGGCGGACCGGUGGACACUCAGCCGGCUGCUCCCACCGAGGGCACCGCAGAGCAGCAGCAGCUCGAGUCUCCUUCUCCCGGCGGACCAGAGGACACUCAGCCGGCUGCCCCCACCGAGGAGCAGCAACAGCAGCUCGGGUCUCCUUCUCCCGGCGUACCGGUGGACACUCAGCCGGCUGCCCCCACCGAGGGCACCGCAGAGCAACAGCAGCUCGAGUCUCCUUCUCCCGGCGUACCGGAGGACACUCAGCCGGCUGCCCCCACAGAGGGCACUGAGGAGCGGCCAGCGGAGGUGGCAGAGGCCCGCCCCCAGCGCAGUGACAUCUCGGUGGAGUCAUCUCUGGACCAGUUUAAGAUGAGACGGUUCUUCGUGUUGAGGCCUGGCACUCUGAAUCAGGCCAUCAAAGACGUUGAAGCUCUGGUGGAUAAAGAAGUAGAUGGCAGCGUUCACAGCAUUUGGCUGCUGACAGAGGUGGAUCACUGGAACAAUGAGAAAGAGCGUCUUGCAAUUAUCACAGACAACUCUCUCAUGGUUUUCAAGUACGAUUUUCUCAUGUUCAGAUGUGAGCAUAUCCAAAGGAUCCCACUGAACAUCAUCGACCGCAUCUCCCAUGGCAACUUCAGCUUCCCGCCACGCUCCCUGCUUCAGAGAGAGGGGGAGGGGGUGCGGAUCUUCUGGGACCGGCUCAGAGAGCCCUCCUUCACCUCCAGGUGGAACCCCUUCGCCUUGGACUUCCCCUUCAUCACCUUCACUCAUCACCCAGUGAGGAACACUAAUGGCACAUUUGCAGCUCUCUGUGACAUGCAGAAGUUUCGUGAGCAGCUCAAGGAUGCUGCACAGAAAGCCCACGCUAUAAAGCCGUUUCCAGGCAAGGCCAACGGCGUCCUGGUCCUGAAUCAGAACAUCCUCAUUGAGACUUACGUGGGCCUCAUGUCUUUCAUCGGGAACCAGAACAAACUGGGAUACUGCAUGGCUCGAGGAAACCUCGGCUUUUAACCGUUCAGCAUAUAUUUAAUAGUUUUAUUGUUUGCGUGUUUAUAAGUUUGUUGCUUUCAGAUUCAACCAGGUUUGACCGAAAAUUUGUUCCAUAUUCAGGUUUGCUUUUGUCACAGAGCAGCCUGGAUUCUCAGGAUGUUCUGUGUGAGCUUUAAACAACUGUGUGAUCUCCCCCACUGCUUAUUACCAGUGUGUGGUGUCUGAGUGCUCAGAAAUAUCCGCAUUUCAACACCGCUCUUCACUGGAUGACGGAUCCCCCGCUGCUCUCAAGGAGCUUUGUAUUUGCUCCUCAGUGAUAUGGUAAUUCAACUCUUUCGCAAUGGGACUCCUUUCUUCCUCCCCCGGUGUCUCUGUUAAAAGCUCAUUCCCAUGCCAUUCAGCCCCUUAGAGAUUCAGCGGAGCAUGGGGGCACAUUUGUCAGUUUAGUUUUAUCAUUCGCAGUGUAUUUUUACAGUGCAUACAGUGCUGGAAUUUCCCCUUGAUUCGUGUGUUUACUGUGUGUCGCUCUGCCUCGUUUGGCGUCACCUGUUUGUCUUGUGAGCGUAACACAGACAAGAAAGUAUAGGCUUACGUAUCUUGUUCUCUUCGUUUGUGGUGGUGUAAAAGAUGCAGAUUCUUCUGCACUGUCUUCAGCGCAUCAUGUCAUGACCCUUGUUCGUACUAAAUAAUAAUUUAUAUUUGCUGAAAGAUAAACAUUGUAGGUGACCAUGAAACUUCAGCAGUGCCAUGUCCAGAUGUUGGUGCAGUUACAUGUGCAGACACAUUAGGGAGGUACGACAGUAAACACUCAGGCAUGUGUUGUUUAGUUGCUCAUUGCCCUCUACCCUUUUUUUUUUUUUUUUUUGAAAGAAAUCAGUCCAGUUUGCUCAGGUUUGAAAGGGUUAAUGAUGCCAACCAUAAAUACUAUCAGAAACAAUUUAAAUUUAAUGAGGAUAUUAAGGAUUACAGCUUUAAAACUUCCAAAGUAAAAUUGUUUAUGGGUGAAUCACAGUUGUGUUUUCAAAUGAGUGACAAAUACAAAUGAAUGCCGACAGACUUCACCCGCAGUAUUUAGACUCUAAUUAGUUUUUCUCUUCAGGAAACAAGGUUAAGUAGCAAACGUCCCAGAAGGACAGAUGUUAUUCAAACCGGUAAAGUAUAUGGAUAAGUUCAGCACCUUUAGUAUCAUGUAUCAUAACCUUAGGGCCUGAAGGGGUUAACAUGUUUCCUCCCAGAGUGAGGACGUGUUUUUAAUCCGGGAUCAAGCACCGCUCUGGCCUGGAGCGAAGCACCUCAUCCAUAUUUCUGCUCUUCGAGUUGUAAAAGAUGUUGAGAAAACAGGAUUAAGAGCCAGAUAAAUGAGCAUUCAUAAAGUUGUAGCUUUUGGCUCUCAAGAAACGUCGAGUUUUACAUUCAGGUCACCUCGUGACUCAAAGCGGUGACAUUAGAAGAAUAUCUUAGCUUGUUUAUUUUGUUUGGUUUCCAUGGACCGCAUUUGUACCUGUAAUCAUUUUAUUCUCUAAUUGUCGCGACUUUAGCUGCAGGUGAAGCAGUUACCAAAAACAUUGAGCAGCAGCAUGACAAUAAAACACCGUUGUGUCACAAACCGCUUUAAAUAAUGACAGACUUCCUGACAUGUAAUGUUUGUGAUUACGUUGUUUGCAGUGAUGAGUUUUCGUGUUCGGUCAUGUUUGAAUUGAACUUUAAUGAAGCUCCGAUCUUUCCUCUUCUCUUGUUUUCUCUCGACCUUUAACAGUCAAGAGCAUCGCUGACGUCGAGAUGUGGUGCGACUUGCUGUAAAUGUCAGGAUAUAGAAGGAACGUGGCUCCGUGUGUGUGCAGAUGUGCGUGCAGGAGGCGGCAGGGAGUGUGGGUGUGCUGUUGUGUACGAUCUGUCCUCAGAUGCUCCUUUUCUUUGCAUUAAAGAUCAUUAAGUUCAGCCCUCAAGGUACUUUAAGAGAAUUAGAGCUCUGAAUUGCUCUCAACAUUGUACGCACAGUCUGUACUCAGAUGCUGGCGCUGCUGUUUAAUAUAUAGAACUAAUAAAUCAUUAACAGAUGUGCAGUGAUGAUCAGAGAUUUGAUGUUAUUAUUAUUAUAUUAUUUUUUUGUGGAUAACAAAACAUUUUGCCACAAAAUUUACGCUGUAAACAUUUUGAGCUAUUUCAUCUAAAAAAACUUUAAGACAUUCUGCUGCACGAACCCUUUGACACAUGUAUAGACAUCUGUUUUUUUGUGCUGCGGUCAGACGCCUUUCACAAACUAUUUGACCCUUUGAAACCUGAGGAAAGUUAUUUCUCAAAAACACGAGAGACAAAGUCAAUGACCCUCUGGACAACAAAUGUCCCACAAACUGCAUAAAUGAAGUAAAAGGCUUUAGAAAAUCUAGACGUCUCCAGCAGGAGAGCGGGCAGCAGAGAAGGAUCCCCAAUCAGCGUCUGCAGCAAACCAGCCGGUGCAAACCGCAGCUCUGCAGGACCCACAACCCUGCAAAAUUUCUUUUGCUGCCAUUACACAGAUUUCUGACGACCCACACUUUUUAUUUGGAGUCAUGUUCCUGGACGCCUGACGAAAGAUGCCCCCCCCCCCGAUAGACGCUGGCCAGACGGUCAGCAGCGGUGAGACUAAGCACUGAUGACAAGCUGCUGGAACGGCUGCAGAGGAGGAGAAUGAGCAGAGUCGGCAUAGAGAGCCUCAGACAACAGGUGGAGGAGACGGUGGACGGUGUGACACGUGGGCGACACGACUGCCGAGCCGUUUGAGACCAACAACAGAAGCAGGUAAUCUGUAGCGAGAAAUCGUCUAUGUUUCCAGCAGCGAUUGUGCCCCCAAAAUCAGCCUGCUCGAAGCCUCCUGAGCCGCGCUGAGAAGCGUGACGCAACCGACGCGCCUUCAACCCACAAAACCACAGGGGAAUCUGGGUGGAAAUAUCAUAACUGGCCAGAGAAACACAUGUCGGAGUCGGGUAGGGCAGCUGAUACACGUGCCUCUAUGACAGUUUGAAGAUUUUGGCAAAGUGAAGUUUGGCAUGACAACAUGAAUUCACCUUACGCAGCUGUGCAGUGUUACCCAGAGUUUCCCUUUCACCGACUCAGGGAUCCUUCGUCACGUUUGUCCUGGAGAGAGAGCUCAUUCCUCACCGCCAUGUCCCAGAAUCAGUCAGCACAGACUACUGACUUUUUCAGCCAAGAUGUAUUCAACCAACUGUUUGAUAUGCUGGACCAAUCUGCCAUUCAUUCAGUCCAGCCCAUAGAGCUGAACUUCAGAGACAGUCCGCCUGACGGGUCUGCAGGAAACACCAUUCAGAUCAGUAUGGACUGCAUCACCAUGCAUGAGCCAGAAGAGACGC